UAUGACGUACUUGUACUGAUUGAGAUUUUAACACGAAGUGAGUGGCGAACGGGUGAGUAACACGUGGGUAACCUGCCCAGAAGUAGGGGAUAACACCUGGAAACAGAUGCUAAUACCGUAUAACAGAGAAAACCGCAUGGUUUUCUUUUAAAAGAUGGCUCUGCUAUCACUUCUGGAUGGACCCGCGGCGUAUUAGCUAGUUGGUGAGGUAAAGGCUCACCAAGGCAGUGAUACGUAGCCGACCUGAGAGGGUAAUCGGCCACAUUGGGACUGAGACACGGCCCAGACUCCUACGGGAGGCAGCAGUAGGGAAUCUUCCACAAUGGACGCAAGUCUGAUGGAGCAACGCCGCGUGAGUGAAGAAGGGUUUCGGCUCGUAAAGCUCUGUUGUUAAAGAAGAACGUGGGUAAGAGUAACUGUUUACCCAGUGACGGUAUUUAACCAGAAAGCCACGGCUAACUACGUGCCAGCAGCCGCGGUAAUACGUAGGUGGCAAGCGUUAUCCGGAUUUAUUGGGCGUAAAGCGAGCGCAGGCGGUCUUUUAAGUCUAAUGUGAAAGCCUUCGGCUCAACCGAAGAAGUGCAUUGGAAACUGGGAGACUUGAGUGCAGAAGAGGACAGUGGAACUCCAUGUGUAGCGGUGAAAUGCGUAGAUAUAUGGAAGAACACCAGUGGCGAAGGCGGCUGUCUGGUCUGCAACUGACGCUGAGGCUCGAAAGCAUGGGUAGCGAACAGGAUUAGAUACCCUGGUAGUCCAUGCCGUAAACGAUGAUUACUAAGUGUUGGAGGGUUUCCGCCCUUCAGUGCUGCAGCUAACGCAUUAAGUAAUCCGCCUGGGGAGUACGACCGCAAGGUUGAAACUCAAAAGAAUUGACGGGGGCCCGCACAAGCGGUGGAGCAUGUGGUUUAAUUCGAAGCUACGCGAAGAACCUUACCAGGUCUUGACAUCUUCUGACAGUCUAAGAGAUUAGAGGUUCCCUUCGGGGACAGAAUGACAGGUGGUGCAUGGUUGUCGUCAGCUCGUGUCGUGAGAUGUUGGGUUAAGUCCCGCAACGAGCGCAACCCUUAUUACUAGUUGCCAGCAUUAAGUUGGGCACUCUAGUGAGACUGCCGGUGACAAACCGGAGGAAGGUGGGGACGACGUCAAAUCAUCAUGCCCCUUAUGACCUGGGCUACACACGUGCUACAAUGGAUGGUACAACGAGUCGCGAGACCGCGAGGUUAAGCUAAUCUCUUAAAACCAUUCUCAGUUCGGACUGUAGGCUGCAACUCGCCUACACGAAGUCGGAAUCGCUAGUAAUCGCGGAUCAGCAUGCCGCGGUGAAUACGUUCCCGGGCCUUGUACACACCGCCCGUCACACCAUGAGAGUUUGUAACACCCAAAGCCGGUGGGGUA
rnacentral:rRNA from 1 species